GCACAAGUUUGAUAAAUAAGCAAUUCCAACAGAAUCCCCACAAUUCUGGGACUGCAUUCACGCUAACAAAAUCACCCAAUAACCAAGCACAAGAAAGUACAGAAUAAUCAUCCUUCAAAAUAAAGUAGCAACCUAUAAGGAGGAUCUAUAGUCCUUUAUACAAGAAAUGACUAACAUGAAACAAAAGAUUACAGUGGACUAGGACUUAGUAGGGGCACUGUGAUGUCGUCAUGGAAAUGUCUCCUCACCCCUCGAUCAAUCAUCAUCAUGGCGGUCUUCAUUGAUUUCGUCCAGAAUCACCACCCGCGUAUGGCACUGAAAAAGUCAAGAACUAUAUAUUAGACACCAUUAUAAUUAUGUCAGAAGGAUGACUUUGGGCAAAGAGCAACUCAAAAGUACUUGACUCUUCAGUCCCAGUACUGAAAGACGUGAGAACUGAACAUUUCUAAUACUUGAAGUUACUAAAGGUAAAAACUUCCAAGUUCUUGAAACUUAAAGAAAAUGUGUAAGCCAGUCUCAUACCAGUCUCCAUCAUCAUCUUUCCAAGCAGCCACCUAUUCAGAGAAAACCAAUCUUUAUGGCAGUCUAGCAAUUAAUUACAUGAAGAAAAUUUUUUGAGCAUGCACGUAAAUUUAUAACACAUAAUUUUGCAACUAAAUUUUUGAUAACUGCAAUAGGACAGAGUGCGUGAUAAUUUGGAAUACAUCAUCUAUCAUGAACAGAUUAUAUUCUCAUUCCCCACCCCAGGAAAAAAGGAUCAAAACAUGAUAAUUUGGAAGGGGGUGGGGGUGGAUUACACCCAAACACUCAAAUGGUAAAUAUUAUUAUAGCGGCAGAUAUAUGGAGUAACAAAGAAGUCGAUUAUCAAGCUUAAUCAAUAGUCUCAAGUAAUUAACUUUAAAUUUAGUUUCAGAGUUAUGCGUAUCUCUUUUGUCCAACUACAGCGCGUUGCAAGUCACUGAACAUAAAAAGACUGGCAAGAUGCAAGCUGAUUGUUCUUAAAAUGAUGGUUGAUGACACUUGGGGAAUUUACACUGAUGAUGGUACCUGAACAAUCAUUCUUCAACUAACACCAAUCAUAUGUAAAACAAACAACACCAAUGCAUUAAGAACCACAUUCAAAUUAUCUUAAUUUUCCAGGAAGUCUUAAAGCAACCACAUUAUAUAUUACCAGCAAAAUAUAAAAAAAAAAUUCUAUUUUCCAUUCGCAGAUUCCACAUUUCAUUAUAAAUGACUCUAUCUCAGAAACUUGAAACGAUUUCUACACUUCUGCUACAUUAUAAGAUUUAUAAAUUCAUACAAACCCACAAUUGUUGCAGAAGAGCAGAGGAACAAUCGUGGUGAAAAAACCCAUUAAAAAUUCACCAAAUCGUUUUAAAGGGGUCAUGUAAACCCUAGAAAUCAUCAUACGUUCAAACCCUUACCGAAUCGAGGUGUGAAUCAACGAGGUCUGAAAUAGAAGUUGAGAUCGAACUGAUGAGCAGCGGUAAUUGCAGCGGCAUUGGUCUGAAGUCGCGAUGGUAAUUGCAACGGCGGUGACGGCAGUGGUAGGGAAAGAAGCCCAUUUGGGAGAAGCCUUAUGCGACUGUGGAGCAGGUAUGCGCGAUUGAGGAGAAGGGAGAGAAGCCCAUUGAGGAAAAGGGAGAGAAGCCCUUACGCGAU
rnacentral:lncRNA from 1 species